rnacentral:lncRNA from 1 species
UGACAAUAAUAUGGCAAUUUUGUAUACUUCUUUUUAUGCAGAGCUCCUAUAAAUAGAUUUCCAUGCUAAUUAUCUAUCUAUUUGAAUUUGAUCUAUACCGCCCCUCAUAUUUAAACUAGAGUUAGAAUAGUAAAUCCAGCUGCAUCUGGACAGCUCCUACGAUUUAAUUUUCUAAAGAAAUGCUGAAUUUGAACUUGUACAAUACAAUUGUAAUUUGAGUAUAGUCAAAAUAAUAUUGUGAACAAGAUGAUAGCUGAGAUAUAACGC